UUGCAGGCUGGUUUGGAUUCUUAUACAGCAGCAGAGUCAGGGUUUUCCUAUCAAUACUGUGUCUACGAUGGGUUCAGAGAAACAUUGUUUUUUCACAUUUUUGCUUUAUGCACCUUCUUCUUUUUCCUUCAAAUUGUAUCUUUCUAUUUUGGUGGUGUUUGUUUUGAGAGCCUGUUGCAUAGUGUGGGAAAUGGACCUCACACCCCGGAGAACUUGGCUCGGAAACCAUACGCCCCUGUUGGAUUUGGCUUCAUCUGUGGAUCCUACCUAUAAAUGGGGGUCGGGGGAGGCAAGGUGAUGCUUUCUGGAUUCAUGGAUUUCCCUCUUCUACAAGCUAAAUGCAACAAGCUAACCCUUCUGCUGUCCAAAGAGCUCCAUCUCUGUCAACUAU